rnacentral:rRNA from 22 species
UUAAAUUGAAGAGUUUGAUCAUGGCUCAGAUUGAACGCUGGCGGCAGGCCUAACACAUGCAAGUCGAACGGUAACAGGAAGCAGCUUGCUGCUUCGCUGA